rnacentral:miRNA from 1 species
UUUAAAAUCGGCUCUUUAAGAGCCGAUUUUAAAAGUGCUACUUUUAACAUCGACUCUCAAAUAGCCGAUUUUAAA